AUGAAUGAGUUUGACUACAUAAUACGGGAAGCUAGGGAAAUCUUUUAUUUUUAUGGUAUGAAUCAUGAAAAACCCAUGAUAGAUGAAAUUCUUUACAAUAGUGACUAUGCACUAAGGCAUUUGCGUGGGGAUAAUAAGAUCUUUGAUGAGAAUCUUAAAAAGGAGGUCCCCGUUCUAGAGAUAAUCCAACAAGUUUUUAAUAAUGUUAAUCACCACUACUCUUGGAUAGUUGUAGGAAAUCAAAGGGGUUAUGAUGAAAACCAACUAAGGAAUGCCAAAGUUCCCAUGGAUAAUUUGUUUUAUGUUGUGUUUACAAAACCCCCAUGA
rnacentral:rRNA from 1 species